rnacentral:ncRNA from 1 species
CAAAAUGCGUAGAAGAGAUGAGUAAAUCAAAUGAAUUGAUUACAGAGAAUCCGGUUGAUGAGAAAGGAUAUCAAGGAAUUGAUAGAAGAUGGUCUUGGAGCAAUUGAUUGUAAGUUUUUACAAGCAAUCGACGGAGGUGCCCGUUAUCGCAACACAGUAUAAUCUCUAGAUAGUACUGACGGAGUUUUUUGGUGUGAGCCAAACUAAAAUGAAGGUGGUAACACGGUAAAUCGUCCUUCCC